GUAGGUGGCAAGCGUUGUCCGGAAUUAUUGGGCGUAAAGCGCGCGCAGGGCGGUUCUUUAAGUCUGAUGUGAAAGCCCACGGCUCAACCGUGGAGGGUCAUUGGAAACUGGAGAACUUGAGUACAGAAGAGGAAAGCGGAAUUCCACGUGUAGCGGUGAAAUGCGUAGAGAUGUGGAGGAACACCAGUGGCGAAGGCGGCUUUCUGGUCUGUAACUGACGCUGAGGCGCGAAAGCGUGGGGAGCAAACAGGAUUAGAUACCCUGGUAGUCCACGCCGUAAACGAUGAGUGCUAAGUGUUAGGGGGUUUCCGCCCCUUAGUGCUGCGGCUAACGCAUUAAGCACUCCGCCUGGGGAGUACGGCCGCAAGGCUG
rnacentral:rRNA from 1 species